rnacentral:SRP_RNA from 1 species
GCCGGGCGUGGUGGCGGGCGCCUGUAAUCCCAGCUACUUGGGAGGCUGAGGCAAGAGAAUUGCUUGAACCUGGGAGGCGGAGGUUGCAGUGAGCCGAGAUCGCACCACUGUACUCCAGCCUGGGUGACAGAGCAAGACUCUGUCUCAA